rnacentral:rRNA from 1 species
AGCGGAGGAUAGAAUUCCCGGCGUCACGGUGAAAUGCCUAGAGCUCUUGUGGAACGCCGCUGGCGAAGGCGGCUCCCUGGACAAAUCUUGACGCUCAGUUGCGAAAGCGUGGGGAGCAAACAGGAUUAGAUACCCUGGUAGUCCACGCCGUAAACGAUUUUUAUUAGGAGGUUGUGCCCUUGAGGCGUGGCGUG